rnacentral:rRNA from 1 species
UUACCGCGGCUGCUGGCACGUAGUUAGCCGGGGCUUCUUAGUCAGGUACCGUCAUUUUCUUCCCUGCUGAUAGAAGUUUACAAUCCGAAAACCGUCUUCCUUCACGCGGCGUUGCUGCAUCAGGCUUUCGCCCAUUGUGCAAUAUCCCCCACUGCUGCCUCCCGUAGGAGUUUGGGCCGUGUCUCAGUCCCAAUGUGGCCGAUCACCCUCUCAGGUCGGCUACAGAUCGUCGCCUUGGUGAGCUUUUAUCUCACCAACUAGCUAAUCUGACGCGGGUCCAUCCUAUGGCACCGGAGUUUUUCACACUGUAUCAUGCGAUACUGUGCGCUUAUGCGGUAUUAGCUAAGAUUUCUCUUAGUUAUCCCCCUCCAUAGGGCAGGUUACCCACGCGUUACUCACCCGUCCGCCGCUCUCCAGCUCAUCCGUCAUCCGAAGAUUCCGUCAAAGCCUUCUCGCUCGACUUGCAUGUGUUAGGCACGCCGCCAGCGUUCAUCCUGAGCCAGGAUCAAACUC